rnacentral:rRNA from 1 species
GACGAACGCUGGCGGCGUGCUUAACACAUGCAAGUCGAACGGAAAGGCCCUGCUUUUGUGGGGUGCUCGAGUGGCGAACGGGUGAGUAACACGUGAGUAACCUGCCCUUGACUUUGGGAUAACUUCAGGAAACUGGGGCUAAUACCGGAUAGGAGCUCCUGCUGCAUGGUGGGGGUUGGAAAGUUUCGGCGGUUGGGGAUGGACUCGCGGCUUAUCAGCUUGUUGGUGGGGUAGUGGCUUACCAAGGCUUUGACGGGUAGCCGGCCUGAGAGGGUGACCGGCCACAUGGGGACUGAGAUACGGCCCAGACUCCUACGGGAGGCAGCAGUGGAGAAUAUUGCACAAUGGGCGGAAGCCUGAUGCAGCAACGCCGCGUGCGGGAUGACGGCCUUCGGGUUGUAAACCGCUUUCGCCUGUGACGAAGCGUGAGUGACGGUAAUGAGUAAAGAAGCACCGGCUAACUACGUG